CCACGUUUUGAAUCCUCUGAAAUUGUUUUAUUAUGGAAUCAUUGAGAUUUUGCAUUAGUGUCCUAUUGUAGCCCUUUCUUAUUUUACGAUUAUCAAGUAUUCCUUUCCUAGUUCAGACUGCAAGAACCAUUGCUUCCAUUUCCAUAUUUGCAUAUGCUGUUUAGCUGCUGUGCAGACGGCAGUCCACAGGGAAAACUUGGGACUACCAAUUAUCAAUUCAAUAUGUCGCAACGCCAUUAACGAAAGCUGUAAUAAAAUUAACGCAGCACGCAGUCGAAAUGUUUGUCCACGUGUGCAUAGACAAGAGAGGCACAGCUGGGUUUGUUAAAGAUGCUGAUGAAACGAAAACUGAAUCUCUAGAAAUGUCGUGCUUUUCUUAAAGCCGCUUCAUUCAGCUCAUUCCCCUUUAAUGAUGACAACAGACAGAUAUGGCCCUCUGACAUUGCCUCUUCAGAGAAAUAUUCUAUUCUUAUAUUACAAUGAAAGACGAGGAAGCAGCACUAUACCAUGAAUGUUAUCAAGAAUUCAUAUUGAAGAUAAUUGGAGCACCCAGUUUAAUGAAUCGCCAUUCUCAGUUUAAAAAUAAAAAAUCAACUACCAAGUUUGACCUGCUGAAACGUCGAGACCAUUUCCACGUUGUCAGGAAAACUACAAAAUGGUGAGGAAACCACGAUUCAUUUAAAAACGGUAUCAUUGGCCACGCUCGACAGUCUGGAGGGAGCUCCCCGUAACCGCCAAUCAUCCUAUUAUUCCAGUUGUCUCCGGAAUUGCUUUUAACGGGACGUCCAGAAGCGGUUGACAGAGCAAAAGUUUGGUCAUGAUAUUUAAUACUUGCUUUCUAACAACGUCUAUAAGUCGUAUGAUGCUUUAUGCAACAGGUGCCUCAUUAACCGUUUUCUGUCUGUCUAAUGAUAUUCUCUUAUUCUACAGGUUUUUCUGGUUUGAUGCAUUUUUCUUUUCCCAUUCUAGAGUGCAGUACAGCCCCGUGAUUCGUCUUAUUUCGCUAGCAUUAUUUUAUGGAAUGGGUCCAUUGCGUAUCCAUAGCGGCGCUAUACCAAUUAAUGCUAGGCUGCUCUCUUGUAAGUAUACGUCAAAAGGGUUGGGGAGAAGGUCCUAAUCAACGUCAAUUGCCUCAGAGGAAGAAAUCUUAGGAAAACCCGAACUUUUAAUUUUUUUUAUUCGCUCAAUGAUUCAUUACGAUGUGUACGAAGCCAAGUGCGUUACUUGAGGCGAAAUAAUUUAACAAGUUUCUUGUUCGAUCUAAACACUUCUCUGUGUCCUUAAGAUUUCCUAGAAAGCCGAUAGCUGCAAUAUGCUGUUUCAUCUUCAAUGUCCAGACUCGCAAGUUGGUCAGUUUUUUCCCACCAUUUUUGUGGUGUAUGGCAUUCAAUAUACCGAAAAUCUCCUGAAUCGCCAUUUGAUUAAGGCCAUGGAGCUGCAGCCCAUUCAAUUGUUGUUGUUGAAGAGCCUCGAAAGUGGAAAAAGCAGUUCGCUUUUUUCCUGGAAAUCGACUGAACAGUAGCCUGAAAUUAGUUACCACAAAUACAGAAGGAAAAAGCAAGAAAAGCGUCGUUUUUAAAUUGGACAACAACAAACUUUGCGCCGAGUCCUACGAACUUCAACGUGCUUUUGAUCACGUCGUCGCAUGUUCCUGUGGGAUAAAAUUAGAAUUGAAACGACCCUUACGCCCCUUGGAUUCCUCGAAAUAUGUGACCUCAUAGAUGCAGUGUCAGCCACCCCACUUUUUGUUUAUUCAGGUAAAAACGACCUUGCUGAUUUGGUAAUCGAAGUUGCAGUAAAAUCAACGUCGUUUGGACGUGUCGAUAGAGGGCUCUGCGUCGAAUACCAGAAACACAGUUCGAUGGAGUUCAUUUUAAAAGUCCGAUGGAGUUCGUUAUGCAAUAAGGUGUGUUCUCAGCUUUUCUCAGUUUUUGUAGUGUAGUUGAUUGUAUAAUGGCACUGUAAGGCCUACACAAAGUUAGUGGUUUAUUAGCUGUUGUCUUUUGAAGCCAAAAUGGUAACUAAUGGCAUUUGAUCUUAGACUUUCAAUGACGGUUGUCGGUUGAAAAAGAUCCGUCGUACGGACGUUAUUCAUGUGUUGCAACAAUCAUUUUAACUGUUAUCAGCUUGUUUUUAUUUUUAUUUAAUUCUAAAAAUUAACUUGAUUGGCUGUAAAUAAUUCUGCAUCACUGGUUUUC